rnacentral:snoRNA from 1 species
AAGCCGUGGUGUGGGCAUUGGUUGGUAUAGCUUCUGAACCGUUCCCAAGCUUCACUAAAGCUCUCGUGGUGUGUUGUGUGAAGCUGGAGAUCUGAUUCCUCAGUUU